CAGGUAGUUGGCGGGGUAACGGCCCACCAAGCCUUCGAUCAGUAACUGGUGUGAGAGCACGACCAGUCACACGGGCACUGAGACACGGGCCCGACUCCUACGGGAGGCAGCAGUAAGGAAUAUUGGUCAAUGGACGCAAGUCUGAACCAGCCAUGCCGCGUGGAGGAUGAAGGUCCUCUGGAUUGUAAACUUCUUUUAUUUGGGAAGAAAUGUCCGAAUUCUUUCGGGCUUGACGGUACCAGAUGAAUAAGCACCGGCUAACUCCGUGCCAGCAGCCGCGGUAAUACGGAGGGUGCAAGCGUUAUCCGGAUUUACUGGGUUUAAAGGGUGCGCAGGCGGAUAUGUAAGUCAGUGGUGAAAUCUCCGGGCUUAACCCGGAAACUGCCGUUGAUACUAUAUAUCUUGAAUGCUGUGGAGGUAAGCAGAAUAUGUCAUGUAGCGGUGAAAUGCUUAGAUAUGACAUAGAAUACCGAUUGCGAAGGCAGCUUACUACACAGAUAUUGACGCUC
rnacentral:rRNA from 1 species